AUCCUAUCAUUAGGUAUUUUUGGUUAGAGCGUGGUGCUGAUAAUGCCAAGGUUGCAGGUUCGAUCCCUGUAUGGGACA